GACGAACGCUGGCGGCGUGCUUAACACAUGCAAGUCGAACGGAAAGGCCCUGCUUGCCGGGUACUCGAGUGGCGAACGGGUGAGUAACACGUGGGUGAUCUGCCCUGCACUUCGGGAUAAGCUUGGGAAACUGGGUCUAAUACCGGAUAGGAGCCAUCUUUAGUGUGGUGGUUGGAAAGUUUUUUCGGUGUAGGAUGAGCUCGCGGCCUAUCAGCUUGUUGGUGGGGUAAUGGCCUACCAAGGCGGCGACGGGUAGCCGGCCUGAGAGGGUGUACGGCCACAUUGGGACUGAGAUACGGCCCAGACUCCUACGGGAGGCAGCAGUGGGGAAUAUUGCACAAUGGGCGCAAGCCUGAUGCAGCGACGCCGCGUGGGGGAUGAGGGCCUUCGGGUUGUAAACUCCUUUCGCUAGGGACGAAGCUUUUUUGUGACGGUACCUAGAUAAGAAGCACCGGCUAACUACGUG
rnacentral:rRNA from 1 species